GCGGCACGCCUAAACAUGCAAGUCGAACGAAGUAGCAAUACUUAGUGGCAGACGGGUGAGUAACAUGUAGGUAUCUGCCCUAUGGCCUGGAAUAACACGAGGAAACUUGUGCUAAUACCGGAUAAGUCUUUACGGAGAAAGCUUUAUGCACCAUUGGAUGAGCCUGCACUUGAUUAGUUUGUUGGUAGGGUAAUGGCCUACCAAGACUGUGAUCAAUAGCUGGUUUUAGAGGAUGAUCAGCAACACUGGGACUGAGACACGGCCCAGACUCCUACGGGAGGCAGCAGUGGGGAAUCUUAGACAAUGGGCGCAAGCCUGAUCUAGCCAUGCCGCGUGAGUGAUGAAGGUCUUAGGAUCGUAAAGCUCUUUCGCCAGGGAUGAUAAUGACAGUACCUGGUAAAGAAACCCCGGCUAA
rnacentral:rRNA from 1 species